ensembl:lncRNA
CUGAGGCACAGAGGUUACAUAAUUUGAUCGACAUUACUCAACUAGUGAAUGGCAAGUCCAGUUUGAAUGGCAAUCUAGAUUGAGAGACACUGCUUAUCACCCCUGUUUUGCUUUUUGGUUCAGCACACACAGACUAGCCAAACCAAGCUUGUGGAAGAUUCUUUCCCCGCCUCUUUGAUAGCUGCAGGACUGAUUCCGUAUGCUUCAAGCCAGAGGCAUUGAAUCAUCUUGGGGCAUCACAAAAAGGAGGGUGAUUUCAGCAAAGCAAAAGACCUUGGCUCUCAGAGAUGGGAAGAAAGACAAAAAAUGCAAAUCUCUAGCCUUUCUUUUUUUUGUUUUUUGAAUUUAAAAAAAAAUCUUAUUUUGUUUUCCUUCAUUUUAAGUCCAGUUUACUCAGAGUGAUGGUCACCUCACCGGAGAUAAGUACUGCAAGGUUCACAAAGGAAUUCAAUUUGAACAAUGGUACAGGCUGUGGCAGUAAAUCCCCCAGGAUCUCUCUGAAAGACCCUUGCAGGAAAAUUCAAUAUUUCCAAGAUGUCAUCGCUUCACAACUUAAUCUAUAUAUUCAAUGCAAUUCCAAUCAAAAAGCCAGACAGGUAUUUUGCAAAUGAUAGGAAUCUGAUUCUAAGGCUUAUAUGAAG